UGAGGGAUGAAGAUCCACCCAGGCUGCCCCCACCUCGCUUUUUGAGUCCGUCGGUCUUGGGGUCAUCUUCAGCACUGUCAAGGAAUGGUGUUCGAGGCUCAUCUUCCUCCAGGAUGAACUCUGGGUGAGUCAUGAAGUUAUGGAUGGAGCUUCUGGACUCAGGUUUCUCGAGGCCUUCGUACAAGGAGCUACGGAACGCAUUCACCACCUUGAUCUGUGUUUGUAUCCUGUUGAGACCCCUGAACCACAAGAUCUGCCCACGCCGCAGCUCCAUCUCAGCAUGGUCUAUCUCAUCCACAUCCUCUGGCAGCUCUUCCUCUGGGAUCUCCUCCUUGGUGAUGCCAUGCCCAGCUUCCUUCAGGAACUUCAGGUGGCUGGUGGGGACUGUGCAGAUCAGCUGGCCCCAGAGGAGCUCUCCCACUCCAAUAAAUAUACACCAGAACCACUGGCUCAGGGUGAGCCCAGAGCAGCUGAAUGGCUUCCCACCAAACUCCACAAUGAUGAUCUGGGCUGCAAACGUCCCCAGCACCACUGUGCAGAAGAUGGGGUUGCGGUAGAUGGCCU
rnacentral:lncRNA from 1 species